rnacentral:lncRNA from 1 species
ACGUCACGGUUGGCGAAGACGGUGUCGUGGUCCUUGAGCACGUGACGGGCCAUGGAAGAUGAGGUGACCACGAUGGCAAGCUUGCUUCCGAGCCAGAGCUUGAAAAUCGGGCCAUGGGUUCGGGCCAACCUGGCGAAGUAAGUGUGAAGUUCCGGGUCGAGAGAUAGAAGGUUCCCGAAGAUGGGGAGGCCCGGUGGGCCUGGUGGCAGUGGUGGGCUCUGGGCUUUCGGUUUAAGGAAGCAGAGCCGUGCGUACCAAGUGGUGGCUGAAAUGACCAAG